rnacentral:sRNA from 1 species
CUUAACCAUAAACAAGAAGUGGAGAAACUACUGGGGAAGCAGGAUAGGUUACAGUAUGAAAAGACACAGAUAAAAGACAAAGAUAGAUGCCCUCUCUCUUCAUCUUCACUUGAAAUACCGGAUGAUUUUGGAGUUGUAGGUCCCUUGUCAUAGCUUGGUUUUUAGACUUUAUGUGUUUAUGUACAGUAUAUUACUCUGACAGUUUGAAUUUCUUCACCUAAAGAUAAUUCUCUGAAAGUACUGUUUCUUCAUUCUAUUGCGGUAUAUGAGAAUUCCUGGGUGCAUCUUAUUCUGCUGUUUGAGAGAAAAAUUUGUGCAUUGAACACUUGAAUCAUUUUUAUAAAAAUUGAUUUCAUUUUCUUUUCUGUUAAAUUAAAAAUCGUCAGCUUUUGAAAGAUUAC